rnacentral:pre_miRNA from 1 species
AAAAUGGCCACCGCGCAAUUGGGCUUCUGUGGCCUUUCCAGCAGAAUCAAAACUAAUGCUGGCAAGACUAUGGCAGUCCACUUGUUCGUAUGGCCCU